rnacentral:rRNA from 1 species
CGCGUAGGCGGUCUGUCCAGUUAGGCGUGAAAGGCCUGGGCUUAACCCAGGAAUGGCGCUUAAUACUGACGGGCUUGAGAUUGGAAGAGGAGAGUGGAAUUCCCAGUGUAGAGGUGAAAUUCGUAGAUAUUGGGAAGAACACCAGUGGCGAAGGCGGCUCUCUGGUCCACAUCUGACGCUGAGGCGCGAAAGCGUGGGGAGCAAACAGGAUUAGAUACCCUGGUAGUCCACGCCGUAAACGAUGAGUGCUAGACGUUGGGGGGCUUGGCUCCUCGGUGUCGCAGCUAACGCGUUAAGCACUCCGCCUGGGGAGUACGGUCGCAAGAUUAAA